GCCUUGGUAGCUCAAUUGGCUAGAGCGUGGGACUUUUACAUCCAGUUGUAUGAAAUCCCAAGGUUGCGGGUAUGUUCUCUCCACCACCUACUUUACAAUACCACUUCCUUGACAACGAAACUGACCAAUGCUGCCUGUAGGUUCGACCCCCGCCUGAGGCG